GGUGGUCUGAAGGUAAUGAGUUAUCUACUUGAUUGUUUAGUCAGUUACAGAUUGAACUGCUUGUUCUACUUUCCCCCUUCUCACUACUGCACUUGACUAGUCUAAA
rnacentral:Y_RNA from 1 species